UACGUAGGUGGCAAGCGUUACUCGGAAUCACUAGGCGUAAAGCGCAGGUAGGUGGCUUGAUAAGUCUAUUGUGAAAGCUCCCGGCUUAACUGGGAGAGGUCAAUGGAUACUGUUAGGCUUGAGUGUGGUAGGGGAAACUGGAAUUCCUGGUGUAGCGGUGAAAUGCGUAGAUAUCAGGAGGAACACCUAAGGCGAAAGCAGGUUUCUGGGCCAACACUGACACUGAGCUGCGAAAGCUAGGGGAGCAAACAGG
rnacentral:rRNA from 1 species